rnacentral:tRNA from 1 species
GCCCGGGUAGCUCAGCCAGGGAGAGCGCGCGGCUGAAGACCGCGUGGUCCCCGGUUCAAAUCCGGGUCCGGGCACUA